UGUCCGUCUGUCCCCGGCCGUCUGUCCCCAUCCGUGUCCGUCUGUCUGUCCCUGUCUGUCCCCAUCCCUGUCCGUCUGUCCCCAUCCAUGUCCGUCUGUCCCCAUCCGUGUCCGUCUGUCUGUCCCUGUCCGUCUGUCCCCAUCCCUGUCCGUCUGUCCCUGUCCCUGUCUGUCUGUCCCCGUCCGUGUCCGUCGGUCUGUCCCCAUCCGUGUCCGUCCCCACGUCUCAGCCCCACGUCUCAGCCCCACGUCUCAGCCCCACAUCGCAGCCCUCAGCCCCACAUCUCAGCCCCACAUCUCAGCCCCACAUCUCAGCCCCACAUCGCAGCCC
rnacentral:lncRNA from 1 species